rnacentral:misc_RNA from 1 species
UACGGAGGGUGUAAGCGUUAAUCGGAAUUACUGGGCGUAAAGAGCACUCAGGCGGACUGUAAAGUCGGAUGUGAAAUCCCCGGGCUCAACGUGGGAACUGCAUCCGAAACUGGCAGGCUAGAGUCUUGUAGAGGGGGGUAGAAUUCCAGGUGUAGCGGUGAAAUGCGUAGAGAUCUGGAGGAAUAACGGUGGCGAAGGCGGCCCCCUGGAUAAAGACUGACGCUCAGGUGCGAAAGCGUGGGGAGCAAACAGG